rnacentral:rRNA from 1 species
UACGUAGGGCGCAAGCGUUGUCCGGAAUUACUGGGCGUAAAGCGCACGUAGGCGGCUUUGCAAGUCAGAGGUGAAAGCCCGGGGCUCAACCCCGGAAUUGCCUUUGAGACUGCAUCGCUAGAACGUCGGAGAGGUGAGUGGAAUUCCGAGUGUAGAGGUGAAAUUCGUAGAUAUUCGGAAAGAACACCAGUGGCGAAGGCGACUCACUGGACGACUGUUGACGCUGAGGUGCGAAAGCGUGGGGAGCAAAGCAGG